AGAGUUUGAUCCUGGCUCAGGAUGAACGCUAGCUACAGGCUUAACACAUGCAAGUCGAGGGGAAACGACAUCGAAAGCUUGCUUUUGAUGGGCGUCGACCGGCGCACGGGUGAGUAACGCGUAUCCAACCUGCCCACCACUUGGGGAUAACCUUGCGAAAGUAAGACUAAUACCCAAUGAUAUCUCUAGAAGACAUCUGAAAGAGAUUAAAGAUUUAUCGGUGAUGGAUGGGGAUGCGUCUGAUUAGCUUGUUGGCGGGGUAACGGCCCACCAAGGCAACGAUCAGUAGGGGUUCUGAGAGGAAGGUCCCCCACAUUGGAACUGAGACACGGUCCAAACUCCUACGGGAGGCAGCAGUGAGGAAUAUUGGUCAAUGGACGAGAGUCUGAACCAGCCAAGUAGCGUGCAGGAAGACGGCCCUAUGGGUUGUAAACUGCUUUUAUAAGGGAAUAAAGUGAGCCUCGUGAGGCUUUUUGCAUGUACCUUAUGAAUAAGGACCGGCUAAUUCCGUGCCAGCAGCCGCGGUAAUACGGAAGGUCCGGGCGUUAUCCGGAUUUAUUGGGUUUAAAGGGAGCGUAGGCCGGAGAUUAAGCGUGUUGUGAAAUGUAGAUGCUCAACAUCUGAACUGCAGCGCGAACUGGUUUCCUUGAGUACGCACAAAGUGGGCGGAAUUCGUGGUGUAGCGGUGAAAUGCUUAGAUAUCACGAAGAACUCCGAUUGCGAAGGCAGCUCACUGGAGCGCAACUGACGCUGAAGCUCGAAAGUGCGGGUAUCGAACAGGAUUAGAUACCCUGGUAGUCCGCACGGUAAACGAUGGAUGCCCGCUGUUGGUCUGAAUAGGUCAGCGGCCAAGCGAAAGCAUUAAGCAUCCCACCUGGGGAGUACGCCGGCAACGGUGAAACUCAAAGGAAUUGACGGGGGCCCG
rnacentral:rRNA from 1 species